rnacentral:rRNA from 1 species
GACGAAUGCUGGCUGCGUGCUUAACACAUGCAAGUCGAACGGUGCAGGGGAGCUUGCUCCCCGGAUCAGUGGCGAACGGGUGAGUAACACGUGGGCAACCUGCCCCUCACUCUGGGAUAACUCCGGGAAACCGGGGCUAAUAACGUAUACGCCCGGGAGCGACAUCGCUCCUGGUGGCAAGAACUUCGGUGAGGGAUGCGCCCGAGGCCUGUCAGCUAGUUGGUGGGGGAACGGCCCAACAAGGCGACGACGGGUAGCCGGCCUGUGAGGGCGACCGGCCACACUGGGACUGAGACACUGCCCAGACUCCUACGGGAUGCAGCAGUGGGAAAUAUUGCGCAAUGGGCGAAAGCCUGACGCAGCGACGCAGCGUGAGGGACGAAGGCCUUCGGGUUGUAAACCUCUUUCGGCGGGGACGAAGCGAAAGUGACGGUACCCGCAGAAGAAGCACCGGCUAACUACGUGCCAGCCGCCGCGGUAA